GUUACCUAUACCGAGGCUAGACUGUGAACCUAGAUAUUCAUUCAACUAGUGAAACAGCUAAAACAGGGAAACCAAUUUUGGAUAGUUAGCUCUAGCUCUCAGAUCUAAGUCAAUUAUACAAUGUUUAUUUGUCUAAAUUAAAGAGGUUUUAAGAACAGGUCCCAAUCUAUCUCAGCCAGAUGGUCCCAAUCUAUCUCAGCCUCCCCACAAUGGCAGCAUUAAUCUAAUCACUAACCUUCUCACAAAAAGUAGUUGAAAGUUGUUGUUCACCCACUUGUCAUUUAUAUAAGCCUGUUUUGUCCCCUCAUUUAUUUUAAUAUGUCAAGUGGUCAGUAAGAUUUCAUGGAAACAUCUGAGCUCAAUGUGUACAGCUGCAACCUCUGUACUGUCUGCUUAGAUGACAUGAUGAAGCAUGUUCAGUAUAUGUGAGUCUGGGAAGGAUGUAGAUGUAUAGUGAUAGAGUGGCAGAAAAGAAAUCGUGCAAUAAUAAGAUACAUUUCCAUGUUUUAUUGUAGCUAGACAGUCUGCAGAUAGUCUUAUGUUGAUUUUAUGCAUUUUUAUGCUUCUAUAAAUUCUAUUGGUGACCUUUGACCAGCACUGAAUUUCCAGCAAAAAUGAUUAGAUUGAUGUCAUUAUUUCAUGGUGAUUAAGUCUGCUGGUUUAUGACAAAAUGCAGUCAAAAUUCUUUAUUGCGCAGGACCACAGCUGUUUCCUGGACAUUUACGUAAAACUGAGGAGGCAUUUAUAAUGAUUUGUCUCUUCAUAUCAUAAGGACCCACCUUCACAAUCCGAUGUUCUACUUGCUUGAGGCAUUCUGUUCUUCCUACAAUACCUCUGCAGUGUUAAUUCUUUCUUUGAUUCCUUCCAUUGCCACCACACGAUGACACAUUUCCAGCGAGGCUAUGGAUCCGUCGUGUGCAGGGUUGACAGCUCCAGCUCUGGGAAUCAAUUGACUGCAGCUGCAAAUAUCAGCAGGACGUGGUCUAUUUGAUUAAAUUGUCUGGGUCACGGAAUGGGGCACAGCCCUGAUGGCAUUCCGCAAAACAAACCUUGUGUUUUUGUCAACGUGGUUCAGCCAAAGGGUCAUCUCCAGUGUGAUAAGGAAGCUUCAGCAAAUUAACUGGCAGCUUUUUGGUCAAGGUUUGCCGUGCUGAGUCUGAUGUUGCUAUCAAGUGACUUUUUGAGAUUUUAACAUGAGCCACUGUAACAUCACCGACACUAAUUACUUCUACAUCAUUGCAAUUUUACAAGUUCAAUUAAGCUGAGGUGGAAAGAAUCUGGGAAAUGGAAGCUGAAAUUAAAAAAAAAUGUAGCAGUAGCUUUGUAGAAAACAUUUUAACAUUUCUUUUUUAAGCUGGUUAAGGAAGAAAAUGAUUCCAAAAUCAUCAUGAAGGAGGAGGCAGCUGAGAUGCUGGACUAAGAAUUGCAUUUUAAAAGGGAAGUGUUGGAAAAGCUGGAUGAAUAUAAAGUUAAUAAGUCACACCAGGUCCACAUCCAAUGCAUUCAAGAACUAUAACAAAUGCGAAUUGUAAGGUGGCAAACGCCACCUUAAUAUUUAAGAAGGGACCAACAAACAAAACAGGGACUACAGACCUGUUGGCCGUACACCAGUAAUACCACAACUUAAAAUGGGGGGAAAUGAAUACAUGCAUGAUUCAUAGUGAUCUGACUGCGCACCAUUACGUGGAUUUGCAAAUGGAAAAUUGUGUUUGACAAACGUGUUAAAAGGUUUGAAGAUGUCACAAACAAAAUUGAUAAA